AGAGUUUGAUCCUGGCUCAGAUUGAACGCUGGCGGCAUGCCUUACACAUGCAAGUCGAACGGCAGCACGGGAGCAAUCCUGGUGGCGAGUGGCGAACGGGUGAGUAAUAUAUCGGAACGUGCCCAGUCGUGGGGGAUAACGUAGAGAAAUUUACGCUAAUACCGCAUACGAUCUAAGGAUGAAAGCGGGGGACCGUAAGGCCUCGCGCGAUUGGAGCGGCUGAUAUCAGAUUAGGUUGUUGGUGAGGUAAAAGCUCACCAAGCCGACGAUCUGUAGCUGGUUUGAGAGAACGACCAGCCACACUGGGACUGAGACACGGCCCAGACUCCUACGGGAGGCAGCAGUGGGGAAUUUUGGACAAUGGGCGAAAGCCUGAUCCAGCAAUGCCGCGUGCAGGAAGAAGGCCUUCGGGUUGUAAACUGCUUUUGUACGGAACGAAAAGGUCUGCCCUAAUACGGCGGGCCCAUGACGGUACCGUAAGAAUAAGCACCGGCUAACUACGUGCCAGCAGCCGCGGUAAUACGUAGGGUGCGAGCGUUAAUCGGAAUUACUGGGCGUAAAGCGUGCGCAGGCGGUUAUGUAAGACAGUUGUGAAAUCCCCGGGCUCAACCUGGGAAUUGCAUCUGUGACUGCAUAGCUAGAGUACGGUAGAGGGGGAUGGAAUUCCGCGUGUAGCAGUGAAAUGCGUAGAUAUGCGGAGGAACACCGAUGGCGAAGGCAAUCCCCUGGACCUGUACUGACGCUCAUGCACGAAAGCGUGGGGAGCAGACAGGAUUAGAUACCCUGGUAGUC
rnacentral:rRNA from 1 species